rnacentral:rRNA from 1 species
GACGAACGCUGGCGGCGUGCCUAAUACAUGCAAGUCGAGCGAGUCUGCCUUGAAGAUCGGAGUGCUUGCACUCUGUGAAACAAGAUACAGGCUAGCGGCGGACGGGUGAGUAACACGUGGGUAACCUGCCCAAGAGAUCGGGAUAACACCUGGAAACAGAUGCUAAUACCGGAUAACAACAGAUGAUGCCUAUCAACUGUUUAAAAGAUGGUUCUGCUAUCACUCUUGGAUGGACCUGCGGUGCAUUAGCUAGUUGGUAGGGUAACGGCCUACCAAGGCGAUGAUGCAUAGCCGAGUUGAGAGACUGAUCGGCCACAUUGGGACUGAGACACGGCCCAAACUCCUACGGGAGGCAGCAGUAGGGAAUCUUCCACAAUGGACGCAAGUCUGAUGGAGCAGCGCCGCGUGAGUGAAGAAGGGUUUCGGCUCGUAAAGCUCUGUUGUUGGUGAAGAAGGACAGGGGUAGUAACUGACCUUUGUUUGACGGUAAUCAAUUAGAAAGUCACGGCUAACUAAGUG